AGCGAAUAGAUACCCAGGUAGUCCACGCCGUAAACUAUGGAUGCUAGCCGUCGGCAAGCUUGCUUGUCGGUGGCGCAGCUAACGCUUUAAGCAUCCCGCCUGGGGAGUACGGCCGCAAGGUUAAAACUCAAAGGAAUUGACGGGGCCGCACAAGCGGUGGAGCAUGUGGUUUAAUUCGACGCAACGCGAAGAACCUUACCAGCUCUUGACAUUUACGGACCGUUUCCAGAGAUGGAUUCAUCCUAGCAAUAGGCCGUAGGACAGGUGCUGCAUGGCUGUCGUCAGCUCGUGUCGUGAGAUGUUGGGUUAAGUUCCCGCAACGAGCGCAACCCUCGCCAUUAGUUGCCAUCA
rnacentral:rRNA from 1 species